GGACAUAUCCAAUUUAGUCCGUGAAAAGCUAUAAGCCAAAAGAUACAACUCAAACUAAAUUAAAUCAUGAUAUAAUGUACUUUGAUUUUUGAAACCUAGAAAAAAGAAGAUAUUCAUGUGUGACGUGUGUGCUUAUUGCGAACCACAAUGAUGUCGAAAGUUAAGUGUUUGUCAGUAAAGGUAAUGAAACAGCAACAUAUAUCAGGUUUCAGGUUUCUCAAACUUUGGUUGAAGUGCUAAAACCUUAUUUUACAGCAAACAAUGUAUUUACAAAAUAU
rnacentral:lncRNA from 1 species